rnacentral:misc_RNA from 1 species
UAUCCGUUGGUGGACCAGCGGAGGGAUCAUUACAGAGUUGCAAAACUCCCAAACCAUUGUGAACGUUACCUAUCCCGUUGCUUCGGCGGGCGGCCCGGGCCCCGCGCCCGGCGCCCCCCGGCCCCCCGUGGGCGCCCGCCGGAGGUAAACCAAACCCUUGAAUUGCAUGGCCUCUCUGAGUCUUCUGUACUGAAUAAGUCAAAACUUUCAACAACGGAUCUCUUGGUUCUG